rnacentral:misc_RNA from 1 species
GAUGAAGAACGUAGCGAAAUGCGAUAAGUAAUGUGAAUUGCAGAAUUCAGUGAAUCAUCGAAUCUUUGAACGCACAUUGCGCCCUCUGGUAUUCCGGAGGGCAUGCCUGUUCGAGCGUCAUUAUAACCACUCAAGCUCUCGCUUGGUAUUGGGGUUCGCGGUUCCGCGGCCCCUAAAAUCAGUGGCGGUGCCUGUCGGCUCUACGCGUAGUAAUACUCCUCGCGAUUGAGUCCGGUAGGUCUACUUGCCAGCAACCCCCAAUUUUUACAGGUUGACCUCGGAUCAGGUAGGGAUACACGCUGAACUUAAGCAUAUCAAUAAGCGGAGGA